CCUACGGGUGGCAGCAGUGAGGAAUAUUGGUCAAUGGGCGCGAGCCUGAACCAGCCAAGUCGCGUGAGGGAUGACGGUCCUACGGAUUGUAAACCUCUUUUGCCGGGGAGCAAGCGUGCGUUCGUGAACGCGCGUCGAGAGUACCCGGAGAAAAAGCAUCGGCUAACUCCGUGCCAGCAGCCGCGGUAAUACGGAGGAUGCGAGCGUUAUCCGGAUUUAUUGGGUUUAAAGGGUGCGUAGGCGGGAUGCCAAGUCAGCGGUAAAAAUGCGGUGCUCAACGCCGUCGAGCCGUUAAAACUGGGGUUGUGAGGGGGGCAGAAGGUGGGCGGAUGCGUGGUGUAGGGGUGAAAUG
rnacentral:rRNA from 1 species